GGGCCCGCACAAGCGGUGGAGCAUGUGGUUUAAUUCGAUGAUACGCGAGGAACCUUACCAGGGCUUAAAUGUAGUGGGACAGGUCUAGAGAUAGACCCUUCUUCGGACUCAUUACAAGGUGCUGCAUGGUUGUCGUCAGCUCGUGCCGUGAGGUGUCAGGUUAAGUCCUAUAACGAGCGCAACCCCUAUCGUUAGUUGCCAGCGGGUCAUGCCGGGAACUCUAGCGAAACUGCCGGUGCAAACCGUGAGGAAGGUGGGGAUGACGUCAAAUCAUCACGGCCCUUACGUCCUGGCUACACACGUGCUACAAUGGUAUCUACAACAGGAAGCAAGACUGCGAAGUUAAG
rnacentral:rRNA from 1 species